rnacentral:rRNA from 1 species
GACGAACGCUGGCGGCGUGCUUAACACAUGCAAGUCGAACGGAAAGGCCCUGCUUUUGUGGGGUGCUCGAGUGGCGAACGGGUGAGUAACACGUGAGUAACCUGCCCUUGACUUUGGGAUAACUUCAGGAAACUGGGGCUAAUACCGGAUAGGAGCUCCUGCUGCAUGGUGGGGGUUGGAAAGUUUCGGCGGUUGGGGAUGGACUCGCGGCUUAUCAGCUUGUUGGUGGGGUAGUGGCUUACCAAGGCUUUGACGGGUAGCCGGCCUGAGAGGGUGACCGGCCACAUUGGGACUGAGAUACGGCCCAGACUCCUACGGGAGGCAGCAGUGGGGAAUAUUGCACAAUGGGCGGAAGCCUGAUGCAGCAACGCCGCGUGCGGGAUGAUGGCCUUCGGGUUGUAAACCGCUUUCGCCUGUGACGAAGCGUGAGUGACGGUAAUGGGUAAAGAAGCACCGGCUAACUACGUGCCAGCAGCCGCGGUGAUACGUAGGGUGCGAGCGUUGUCCGGAUUUAUUGGGCGUAAAGGGCUCGUAGGUGGUUGAUCGCGUCGGAAGUGUAAUCUUGGGGCUUAACCCUGAGCGUGCUUUCGAUACGGGUUGACUUGAGGAAGGUAGGGGAGAAUGGAAUUCCUGGUGGAGCGGUGGAAUGCGCAGAUAUCAGGAGGAACACCAGUGGCGAAGGCGGUUCUCUGGGCCUUUCCUGACGCUGAGGAGCGAAAGCGUGGGGAGCGAACAGGCUUAGAUACCCUGGUAGUCCACGCUGUAAACGGUGGGUACUAGGUGUGGGGUCCAUUCCACGGGUUCCGUGCCGUAGCUAACGCUUUAAGUACCCCGCCUGGGGAGUACGGCCGCAAGGCUAAAACUCAAAGGAAUUGACGGGGCCCCGCACAAGCGGCGGAGCAUGCGGAUUAAUUCGAUGCAACGCGUAGAACCUUACCUGGGUUUGACAUGGAUCGGGAGCGCUCAGAGAUGGGUGUGCCUCUUUUGGGGUCGGUUCACAGGUGGUGCAUGGCUGUCGUCAGCUCGUGUCGUGAGAUGUUGGGUUAAGUCCCGCAACGAGCGCAACCCUUGUUCACUGUUGCCAGCACGUUAUGGUGGGGACUCAGUGGAGACCGCCGGGGUCAACUCGGAGGAAGGUGGGGAUGACGUCAAGUCAUCAUGCCCCUUAUGUCCAGGGCUUCACGCAUGCUACAAUGGCUGGUACAGAGAGUGGCGAGCCUGUGAGGGUGAGCGAAUCUCGGAAAGCCGGUCUCAGUUCGGAUUGGGGUCUGCAACUCGACCUCAUGAAGUCGGAGUCGCUAGUAAUCGCAGAUCAGCAACGCUGCGGUGAAUACGUUCCCGGGGCU